rnacentral:sRNA from 13 species
GAAAGCGUUGCCGCAGGCAACGACCCGAAGGGCGAAGCGCGCAGCGCUGAGUCAUCCUUCCCCCACCACCA